GAGUUGAUGUAGGGUGUUUCUGCUAUUUGGAUAAAUUGCCUUGCCUCCUUAAAUAAGAAUAAGGUCCAAACGAUUUUAGUGGCUGCAAGGGAUAGGAGAGGAGGUGGCAAUCGGCAUGGGUGCUGGGAGACGGAUGUGCCACUCAUGGUGCUGCGAGACGGUAGUCCAAGAUGGAUGGACAGUGAGCGAGGAUCUGAACCAAUAGCGAGUGAGGGCAUAAACCAGCAGCUUACAGGUAUACCAGUUUGUGGCACCUGGUUGCUUUUGCUUCUUCAAUACUCUGUACAUAUGGAUAUGCGACAUGAUGGAGCAGCAUGUCGUGCAUGCACAUUUUGUAAAUAAUUAAGAUGAAUUAAUAUACUUUCUUCUAUUGUUACUGGUGUUUCCCAUUCAAUAAGGAAACAUAUUAUUAUUCUAUAAA